AUCAAAAGCACUUUGAAAAGAGGGUGAAAAGAACCUGAAACCGUUACGAGGGAAGCGUAUUGCGUUGAAUUGGUGGCUAUAAUUGUGUUCAGCCGAAACGGUGUAUUCACAAUUUGGUUAUCCGUCGUGCCUUUCUCGCGUCUGAUUUUGAGCCGCGGGAGAGGGAGGGAUCCCCUGAAAGGGUAAUGAGGACGAUGGAGUGACAACGCGAUGCGACCCGUCUUGAAACACGGACCAAGGAGUCUAACACAGUUGCGAGUCGAAGGGUGGCAAAACCUGUAGGCAUAGUGAAAGCGAACUUUCCAGAACUGGCAGUUUGUGGCGGCAUAAAAUCGUUGAUUUUAGGUCCGACCUAGAGCAGUUGUGUUAGGACCCGAAAGAUGGUGAACUAUGCUUGAGUAGGGCGAAGCCAGAAGAAAUUCUGGUGGAGGCCCGAAGCGGUGCUGACGUGCAAAUCGCUCGUCGAACUCGAGUAUAGGGGCGAAAGACUAAUCGAACCAUCUAGUAGCUGGUUCCCUCCGAAGUUUCUCUCAGGAUAGCGGGCCGACACUUAUUGUUUUGUGC
rnacentral:rRNA from 1 species